rnacentral:rRNA from 1 species
UACGGGGGGGGUAAGCGUUGUUCGGAAUUACUGGGCGUAAAGGGCUCGUAGGCGGCCAACUAAGUCAUACGUGAAAUCCCUCAGCUUAACUGGGGAACUGCGUGUGAUACUGGAUGGCUUGGAUUUGGGAGAGGGAUGCGGAAUUCCAGGUGUAGCGGUGAAAUGCGUAGAUAUCUGGAGGAACACCGGUGGCGAAGGCGGCAUCCUGGACCAAUAU